rnacentral:snRNA from 1 species
AUCUGUUCUUAUCAGUUUAAUAUCUGAUACGUCAGAUAUUCCCCUACCCGGGGACCAUAUAUUAAAUUGAUUUUUGGAUCAGGGAGCCAGAACGGGGGCUUGCUCCUUCCACUCCACGCAUCGACCCGGUAUUGCAUUACCUCCAGUUACGGUGC